AGCUCCAGUAGCGUAUAUUAAAGUUGUUGCGGUUAAAAAGCUCGUAGUUGGAUUUUCUUCAUGAAUGCCCGACUUUCUCUUCGGGGAUGCGUCUGGUGCGUUUAUGAAAUUCCUUAAAUUUUCACUUUGAUCUUAGUUGAGCUUUGUGAAGUUUAGGGCGUUUACUUUGAGGAAAUUAGAGUGUUUAAAGCAGGCAAUUGCCUUGAAUACGUUAGCAUGGAAUAAUGAUAUAGGACUUCGGUUCUCAUUUGUUGGUUUAAAGAGCUGAAGUAAUGAUUAAUAGGGACAGUCGGGGGCAUUCGUACUUAACUGUCAGAGGUGGAAUUCUUGGAUUAGUUAAAGACGAACUAAUGCGAAAGCAUUUGUCAAGGAUGUUUUCAUUG
rnacentral:rRNA from 1 species